rnacentral:rRNA from 1 species
AGUUAGAAAACGCUGGCGGCGUGCCUAAUACAUGCAAGUCGAGCGAACGGACGAGAAGCUUGCUUCUCUGAUGUUAGCGGCGGACGGGUGAGUAACACGUGGAUAACCUACCUAUAAGACUGGGAUAACUUCGGGAAACCGGAGCUAAUACCGGAUAAUAUUUUGAACCGCAUGGUUCAAAAGUGAAAGACGGUCUUGCUGUCACUUAUAGAUGGAUCCGCGCUGCAUUAGCUAGUUGGUAAGGUAACGGCUUACCAAGGCAACGAUGCAUAGCCGACCUGAGAGGGUGAUCGGCCACACUGGAACUGAGACACGGUCCAGACUCCUACGGGAGGCAGCAGUAGGGAAUCUUCCGCAAUGGGCGAAAGCCUGACGGAGCAACGCCGCGUGAGUGAUGAAGGUCUUCGGAUCGUAAAACUCUGUUAUUAGGGAAGAACAUAUGUGUAAGUAACUGUGCACAUCUUGACGGUACCUAAUCAGAAAGCCACGGCUAACUACGUGCCAGCCCGCCGCGGUAA